AGUGAACGCUGGCGGUAGGCCUAACACAUGCAAGUCGAACGGCAGCACAGUAAGAGCUUGCUCUUACGGGUGGCGAGUGGCGGACGGGUGAGGAAUACAUCGGAAUCUACUUUUUCGUGGGGGAUAACGUAGGGAAACUUACGCUAAUACCGCAUACGACCUACGGGUGAAAGCAGGGGAUCUUCGGACCUUGCGCGAUUGAAUGAGCCGACGUCGGAUUAGCUAGUUGGCGGGGGAAAGGCCCACCAAGGCGACGAUCCGUAGCUGGUCUGAGAGGAUGAUCAGCCACACUGGAACUGAGACACGGUCCAGACUCCUACGGGAGGCAGCAGUGGGGAAUAUUGGACAAUGGGCGCAAGCCUGAUCCAGCCAUACCGCGUGGGUGAAGAAGGCCUUCGGGUUGUAAAGCCCUUUUGUUGGGAAAGAAAAGCAGCAGGUUAAUACCCCGCUGUUCUGACGGUACCCAAAGAAUAAGCACCGGCUAACUUCGUG
rnacentral:rRNA from 1 species